GACGAACGCUGGCGGCGUGCCUAAUACAUGCAAGUCGAACGAAACUUCUUUAUCACCGAGUGCUUGCACUCACCGAUAAAGAGUUGAGUGGCGAACGGGUGAGUAACACGUGGGCAACCUGCCCAAAAGAGGGGGAUAACACUUGGAAACAGGUGCUAAUACCGCAUAACCAUAGUUACCGCAUGGUAACUAUGUAAAAGGUGGCUAUACUACCGCUUUUGGAUGGGCCCGCGGCGCAUUAGCUAGUUGGUAGGGUAAAGGCUUACCAAGGCAAUGAUGCGUAGCCGAAUUGAGAGGUUGAUCGGCCACAUUGGGACUGAGACACGGCCCAAACUCCUACGGGAGGCAGCAGUAGGGAAUCUUCCACAAUGGGCGAAAGCCUGAUGGAGCAACGCCGCGUGGGUGAAGAAGGUCUUCGGAUCGUAAAACCCUGUUGUUAGAGAAGAAAGUGCGUGAGAGUAACUGUUCACGUUUCGACGGUAUCUAACCAGAAAGCCACGGCUAACUACGUG
rnacentral:rRNA from 1 species